rnacentral:rRNA from 1 species
AUGCUCUUGCAUGGUUGACACGUUCGUGCAGAAGGACAACCAUAGGUCUCCUACUUGCCACGUUUGUCUGAACAAUCAAACAAAUCAUCAUGGGGCUAUAGAGUGGGCUACAGGCGUAUUACAUUGGGCACUACAAUUUGACAUUCAAAACUGCCCGGAUAUACGGAUUAGAGAUUAGACUGGGAGAGCUUUAAGCUCGACUGUACCACGUCUGCUUGCUGAAAUUGCCUCUAUGAAGAAGGAAUCGCGAGUAAUCGUAGAUCAUUACUGCUACGGUGAAGGCAACCUCUAUUGUGCACACAUUGCCCGUCACCUUUGGCGAUGGUUUUGUACAGGAAGAAUUCCGGUUACACCUAGGUCGCAGCCGGAUUACGUAUGCGUGAAAUCAGAGCUAAAGUAAGUCGUAACAAGGUCGUGGUAGUGGAAGCUGCUGCGGAAUCAAUUUAUAUAU